CUAAAAUAAGAACUUUAUGCAGAAAUUUUCAAGGGGACUUUACAGCUGUUUCAUAUACACAAUAAUACGUUAUAUGUGGGUUCUAUAUGUCCGGGUUCGACUGUAAUAGCCCACUAGACACAUUCGUCACC
rnacentral:lncRNA from 1 species